rnacentral:lncRNA from 1 species
CAAAUCCAACAAACUCCCACUUGAUCUAAAGUCAAUUGGCCGUAUACCUAAGACCCAUCUUCUCAAAGUGAGCUUUGGUCUUCUACUGGUUAAGAGGCUUGAUCAGUGGGUCUACCACAUUCAGUGCGGAGUUGACUCUCUACACCUCAAUGAACUUCUUCUUAAGGUAUUCGCGUAUGAUGUGAAACCGCCGCUCUAUGUGCUUGAACUUCUAGUG